rnacentral:rRNA from 1 species
UUGGACGGUCAAAGCGGCGUGGUCCUACCUGUUCCCAUUUCGAACACAGAAGUCAAGCGCGCCCGCGUUUCGGAGAAGUACUGCCUUCAUGGGCGGGAAGGCCGAAAAGCUGUCCUCC